AUACAAAAAUAGGUGUGUUCAGAGAGUGUAAAGUUAAAGUAAUUUUCGGUGAAAAAAAAAUCUCAAAACUGUUUGAAAAAUAUUUACGAGGCAACGCUGCGAAAACACAAUGAAAACCAAAAAAUAAUAAAACGUGCGAAUAUAAUUCAAAGCGGUGGAUAUCAGUGUGAGCGCUCGUGUGCUAAGAAAAAAAUCACAAUUUACGUACUAAAAACAACAACAUACAUACAUAAAUGUAUCUCUAUAUAUUCAGUGAAAUCAACAUUUGAAACGGCGGCGAUCGAAUGAGCUUCAUUGUUACCGCUGCAGCAGCUGAAGCGUUGAGCCGCAACUCGAAUAAUUCAGGCUCCACGUUUAUAUUUACAGAAAGUUCGAAAACAAUCAUUUCGCUUGUGAUUUGCUUUUGUUGUAGUUUUCUUUGAUUUUAUUUUUUGUGUUUUUUUUUUUAAAGCAAUUCUUCUUCUUUCGUAAUUCUUUCGUGUACUUAGACUUAAAAGUGCUAACUAUUAUUGUUAUUUCUGCGUCACUUUUACUGCAGUUGUUUGUUGUUGGUUGUUGUUACUGUUAUUGACACUCGCUCUCAAGCUCCGUAAUACACCUUUAUUGGUUUCAAUUAUGUAGCGCUAUCGCCGCCAAUUGGCGUUAAGUGGGUGGCGUUCAUUACGCGGAAGACGUAAUUAAACGCAAUUAGGCAUACGGUCAUACAAAUCGCGAUAUGUGUAAACUUUGCAUCAUAAGUCUACUAAGACUAGCUAAAUACUUGAAAGCACUUAUCGUCAACUCUAACGCUGGUGUGGGACAGCGGGAAGAAAUAUCCGGACAGAAGAUAUAUUGAAGCUGUAGUAAUAAGUCAAAGCGACCGCAAAAGCAGCAGAGCAUAAAGUGGUCGACCAAUUGUGAAGAGUAAAGCAAAAUAGAAAUUGAAAGUCUUGCAGGCCGUAGACAACGAUUUGGAGUGUACUAUAGGCGAAUAUGUGGAGGAGAAUGGGCACUGCUGGUAUCGCUGCCGGCGUCUUAUUGCUGUUGUGCGCCGUUAACAGCGUCAACUCCUUCUCAAGUACUUCGCUCAUGGAACACCUGUUGAGGUCGUAGCGUCGAUGCAUAAAUUAGGGAAGACAACAGUGCGGAAUAUCGUACUUGAAACAUGUGAAAUACUCUGGUUACAUUUGUCCCCGAAAUAGCUUAGAAAUGCCGACUACCGCACAAUAUAAACACAUUGCUGCUGAUUAGAACCUUUUAAAACUGUGGAAUGUAACCAACUGUGUUGGUGCGGUUGUCGGGAAGCAUAUAUGUAUGUAUGCAGCUGUUAUUCGACCACGAAAACAUGCAACGGGAACCUGUGAUGUAGGUAUACGUUGACUCCUAGCAGCAUUAGUAGCUAUCGCGGAAAAAGUGACGGAGCCAACUACCUUUGGUCAAGCACUCUUGGGAAACAUAUUGCUACUACCACUAAGAC